AUCCUUCUUGUACUCACGACUACGAUUGUCCAUUUAUUGAAUGCCCCACUCAUCAUAUGAAGUGCAUUUGUAAUAGGUGUUAUUGCGACUAGCAUUAUGGUGAAGUUUAAAAAUAAUUCUAUGCAUGUAAGACUUUAUUUGAACAUCGUAAUGUUGUUAUUUACAUAUGAUUUCUAUCAUACUUUGAUAUAUCUAUUUUCCUUACUUUUCAAUUUUUUUGACUGGCGUAGAAGCAUAUCGAUUUAUAUCAUCGUAAUGUUGUAGAUGGAGAACAAUUGUUACCUAAUUAUAAUUUAUGUGCUUCAAUGUAAUAUGAUUAUAAGAAGUGAUAAUAUACUUUCAACAUUUUUUGAAUAAAAAUUAAUGGCAUGUGAUAUAAAGUGAACAACUAUUUGCUUGUAUUUGGUAUAUAUACAUAAAAGUUUUAGAUGAAAAUAUAAUUAAGAAAUGCUUAUUUUAUGUACAUUUUUGUUUUUAUAUAAGGCGGAGAAUAUCUACACAUCAGAGGAUAAGGCAGACUUCACCCCUAUCAUUUACUUGUAUGAUUUUAUUAGAUUAAUAAAAGGAAAAAAGAAAUAUAUACAAAAAUUGGGGAUAACCUAACUCAGUGAGUUCAC
rnacentral:lncRNA from 1 species